GAUAACUGGCUUGUGGCAGCCAAGCAUUCAUAGUGAUGAUUUUUUUGAUCCUUCUGUGUCAGUUUUUCAUAUCGCUGUGAAGCAGAAUUCACCAAGUGUUUCAUUUUCCACUGACAAAUAGAGAAAUUGAGCUGGGAUUAGGCUGUUGUGAGAUAGGUU
rnacentral:ncRNA from 1 species